rnacentral:rRNA from 1 species
UACGUAGGGUGCAAGCGUUGUCCGGAAUUAUUGGGCGUAAAGAGCUCGUAGGCGGUCUGUCGCGUCGGCUGUGAAAACUCGGGGCUCAACUCCGAGCCUGCAGUCGAUACGGGCAGACUAGAGUUCGGUAGGGGAGACUGGAAUUCCUGGUGUAGCGGUGAAAUGCGCAGAUAUCGGGAGGAACACCAGUAGCGAAGGCGGCACUCUGGGCCGGUACUGACGCUGAGGAGCGAAAGCAUGGGGAGCGAACAGG